CUUUAAGUGGGUAAACAGAG
rnacentral:misc_RNA from 1 species